rnacentral:lncRNA from 10 species
UCUACACAGAGAAACUGAAAUCUGGUUAGUCAAGAAGGAAAAAACAACCAAGUGCCUGGCAUUAAGAGGAUUUUUUUUUUAAGCUCAGCCUAUGGACAACAAAAGCAUGGACUGUAUUUCUCAGCAUCUUUUGCAGCUUAUUGUUGAAAGUCCAGUGAGCUACCUCAGGCUUUUCUCUGUGGAAUGACUGUUGCAGAGAACUGCACCUCAGAAGAAUGGAGUUUAAAACUGUGAUGACAUUCUACCUCAUUGAAGAAAUCCUCCAGUGCCAAGGGUGGAUCUCUAAAGAAGGAUUCAAUCCAGGAUCACAUCUUAUAUUUACAAUAACAUGCCUUUUUUCUCCUUCAGUCUGGAACCGUGUCUCAGUCUAUCUUUGUUCUUUAUGACAUUGACAUAUUUUAAAGAAUAAAAGCCAAUUCUUUUAUGCACCAUC